UACGUAGGCAGCAAGCGUUGUUCGGAGUUACUGGGCGUAAAGAGUGCGUAGGUGGUGCCCUAAGUCUGUUGUGAAACUCUCCCGGCUUAACUGGGAGGGUGCGGUGGAAACUGGGGUGCUUGAGUGUGGGAGAGGUAAGCGGAAUUCCUGGUGUAGCGGUGAAAUGCGUAGAUAUCAGGAGGAACACCAGUGGCGAAGGCGGCGAUCUGGGAAGAUACUGACGCUGAGGUGCGAAAGCGUGGGGAGCAAACAGG
rnacentral:rRNA from 1 species